UUUUAGGGGUUUGGAGAGGGUAGGGGUCCUCCACUGUAAUGAGGCCUUGUUUCCCGGGACCCUACAGCUGCUGGCACUCCCCGGGGUGUCUUUAAGACUGGGGUGAACCUAAGACCUCUAGACAUGUAUAGUGGUGCUUUGCUGGCCCCUAUUAUGGGCCCACGGUUGGGACUCCUGAAGUCCCCCAAGGGUGGGCAGUGGUCCCUCUUUUCGAGGUGGGAAACCGCCUCCUCCCCUCCGCUCAUCUUUAUUGUGCCAAUCACCAAGGCUGGACCAGGCUCGUGGGCCGAGUGUUGUGCACAGCGGGUGGGGCGAGUGGCUCUGGAGCCCGCGACUGUGCUGGAUCACCCAGGACGCUGCCUGGGAGGGUUCAGUAACAGAUCCCCGAGUUCCCUAGGUUGUGUCCAGCUACCUGUAAGUGCUCAGAAGCCAUGAUCCCUACCCGCUGCAGAAACAUGGGCGUGGAGAACAGCAUUAUCACAGAACUGCAGGCCCUCUGCUCUAGCCCAGCCUUGGCGUCUGCUGCUGGAACAGUUUGUCAGAGAGGGGAGGCCGCUGCUUACCUCUCUGGGAUCCUUUGGCCUUGUUUUGGAUCCUGUGGUUGAGGUAGUCACUAUCCCUCCUCCACGUGUUCAAUGUGGGGUGGGAAAGGACGUUUAAUGUCCAAGAGAAAUUAAAUUGCUCAUUUCUGUUUUAGGAGAUACUGCUUUUUUCCUUUCAAUUAUGCCUCUUUAGAGCUGUAACUUUUGGGCGGAGAACUCAGAGCUGGAGGUCAGGAAGCUUGGAUUCCGUACCCAGAUGUUAUUAAGUAUAUGAGCUUUAGCCGCUCUGAACUUGGUUCCUCAUCAGCGGGACAUGGUCAUUUGCCCGCCGUCCUCACAGGGCUCUUGCAAGGAUUGAGUGGGAUGAUGACUGUGAAGGCUUCUGUCACAGUGGGUUUCAAAGCUGGCCGCUCAGAGAUCACCAGGGAGCUUCUAAAAAUCCCUGCGUCCAGGCCGCACCCCGGACCAGCUACAUCAGAGCCUCUGGGGGCAGAGCCCAGGCAUCUAUUUUUGAAGCUCCCCAGGUGAUUUCAGCGUGCAGCCAAAGCUGGGAAGCAAUGUCCAGCACCACACUCUUCUCCAGAGUCAAUACUCUGGACCAGUGAGAUUGGCAGGAUGGGGAUAUGUGAGUAGUCAGAGCCUAGAGGCGUAGAAUGCAGCUAUGAACUCUGGAAUCAGUGAGACCUGCAUUCAAACCCCAGCACUGCCACUUCAGGCUUGUGUGAACCUUGGGCAAAUGACCCAGCCCUUCUGAAACUUAGUUUCCUCAGCCUUUUGAUGGGGAUGAUACUGACAGUUUCUGCUUCCUGACCUUGGGAAGCACCCAGCAUGGAGUCUCAACACAUGUCGAUGCUUUUUUUUUUUUUUAACUCUCACCUAGGCUAAAGAGGCUGACAAAGAUUCUCUCCUUUAUCAAACUCUAGCCAGACCCCUCUGAGCCCUCUUCUGGACUAGGCCUCAACCUUGGCCUAUAAAGACUUGAACAAACAUUAGCAUACUUUCUGACAGCUUGAGGCCACAUCCCUAAGAUGACUCUAGCUGUCCCUUAAAAUGCUUGCCUGAGAAAAUUCAAGGCUGCCAAAAACUUUUCCUGUUUUUUUCAGCCAGCACCUGAGCAUCGGGCAUCUGUCUCCCAGGCUCUGUGGGAGGAUAGAGUCCUAACUUCACUGUUUGCCAGCUAGCAGACAGCUGGCCUAACCACAUUUGCACUGACCAAGUCUUUGUGAUUCUCAAUUCCCUGACUCCACUGAGCCCCACUGACCCCCCUCCUGACUCCCUCAGUCUUCCUUUAAAACACCCAGUUAUUUCUGUACAAAUUGAAGUUGGGUUCGGUUCACGCUGGACUCUUUUCCAUGUUGCAAUAGUGCGUUACUGAUGGAAGCCUGUCCUUACCCACUGUAUCUAGUGGUUUCCCUUGAACAAAGGCUUUGAUGAUCUAGUACGUUGUUUCCCAGAAUUAUACAUGGGAGCAUCUGAGGCUGUACACAGACAUUUCUUACUUUAUCAGUUAUGUGUUUAUUUUCAUGGUUCCCUUUUCUUUAUUGCAACCCUUAUUGCAAGUGGCAUUGGUUUUCCAGUCACAGUAAGCAAUGUAAAGUUUCCUUUUUUAUAGGUUAAGAAAGGAGUACAUAAAUAAGGUAAAUAAUGCUUAUAAGUAUAUGAUAAUACAGGUGGUACAAUGAUAAAGCAACAAUGGUGGUACUUGAAUGACUGAAAUCAGGGAGAUACUGAUCCAAUUCCACCACCUCACUUUACAGCUGAGGAGACUUUUAGAUGAAGAGGCAAAACUACAAGGCAUAAGAUGGGCAUUGUCCCUGACUCCCCGUGGCAGACUCCCUCUGUGAUCUGAGGGUAAGGAGAGUCUAAGCAAGAACAGAAAUAUCUUCUGCAAAGGUGGCCUGGGACAGGCUCUCCCUGGAGUCUACUGAAGAGGGAGAGCCACAUCCGACGGGAGGGAAGUCAAGAAGGACCUUGUGGAGGAGGGGCAGAUGCCAUAGACCAGGAAGGGAGAACUGUGUUGAGAAGAGGUGAGCGGGAGGGAAGCCAUGCUGAAGGGACAGCAGAAUAAAGGCAGAGAGCACAGUGCUAGGAUGGAGGAAGGCGCUGAAUUGGGCAAGAAACCGACAUGGGUACAGUGGAGCCCUGAAUGUCUUAGGGAGGAGUUUCCUGCUCCUCUGAUGGACCCUGGGAGCCUUUGAAGGUCUCAGAGCAGGAGCUACAUUCUGGGAGGGAUAAUCAGCAGCUGUCAUCAGGGGCUGGGUGGGUCCGUACCUGCUGGGAGAGGUCUGAGCUGGCCAUGCAGAUUAGAGGGGCCAGGUUGUUGACAGGGUGGCCCAGAGAGAGGAUGUAGAGGGAGGAGGAAAGCCCUGAGGAGGAGCCCUGGUGACCAUCUGCCUUAAGGAAGUGGGAGGAAGAAGAACAGCCAUCAGAGAGGCAAGAGGAGAAGCAGGAAUGUGGAGAGGAGCCAAACCAUGAAAGGUGAGGACCAGGAAAGGCAGAGUCAACAAGGAAACUGCUGGUCGCUGUGCUGUGGAGAGAGUGCCACAUCCCCUGCUGCAAGCCUCGCAAAAGGAGGCCAGUAGGGCCAGCAGGGGCCAGAUGACGGGCACCCCGAAGGUUGAGUUUGCCUAUUGUUGACCUCCAUGUCCAUGGGACCAUACAGUAUGUAUUGUUUUGGUCUGGUUACUUUUGGUCAUCAUAUGUUUUUGAGAUUUAUCUAUGGCCGUGUGCAUAUGAGUAGUUCAUUUGUAUUGAUGAGAAGUAUUCUGUUGUAUGAAUAGAGCACAACUCAUCCAUUCUCCUGAUGGACGUGUGCCCUUUCCUGUUUUAGUCUAUCAUAAAUAAAGCUACUGUACAAAUCUUUGUGUGACUAUGUGGUUUUAUUUCUCAUCGGUGAAUGCUCGGGAGUGGACUUACUGGGUCAUGGAACAGGUAUAUGU